UAUCAUGUGGUGGUGAGGACAGAACCGGGGGCUUGGAAGGGACCCCCAGGCCUCCUGUGUGACUUUGGACAAGUGGCUUCCUCUCUCCCAUCAUCGGAGUCCAGAGGGUCUCAGUGGACACAGAGCUUCUCCAAGACCCUGCACCUCCACUCAUUCCUCUAACCCUCUACACAGGCUGCAAAACUGAGACAUUUUUACAAGUAUACUUCGUGUCAUGUGAUGAAAAGUAUGUUGGAAAGAGUCACCCAGGAUCUUGUAUGUGAGGCUUCUUCCUCGAAGUACAGAAAGGUGAAUUUAGUGGAGUCGCAAGAAGAAAUUAUGAAAGUUCAACUAGCCACAAAAAAUCACAUAAAAGAAAAUGUUUAAAAAGCAAAAAUUUACAAGGGUCCCCAACCCUGUGAUACAGGCCCCUGGCCUGCUAGGAACAGGGCCACACAGCAGGAGGUGAGCAGCAGCUUUUCAGUAUAUAUAUUGUGAUUCAACAUUAUUCAUGACAGCAACAAUAAUCAAAGUAAUAAUACCUGACAUAUGUGAGACUCUAUUGAUCCAGUAGCUAAAUUACUAAAGUAAUAAUUACUCAUCAAGAUAAAGUACAUAAGAGAUGAAUCAACAUUGUUCAUAGAGGGCUGAUGGGAUACUCAGAUACUUGGUCAAACCUUCUUCCUGAUAUAUUUGUGAUGGUGUGUCUGGAUGACAUUAUCAUCCAAAAGAGUAGACUGAUUAAAGCCGAUUGUCCUCCCUCAUGUGUGUGGGCCUCAACAAAUUAUUCAAAGGCCUGAAUAGAACAAAGAGGCCAACUGUCCCAGGAGCGAGAAUGCACUUUUCCAGCACGACUUGGGCUGGAGGCAUCAGACACUUAUUUUGAGCUGAGGCAUCAGACUUUUCUUUCCUUCAGACUCAAAGUGAAACAUUGGAUCUACUUGGUCUCAAGGCUGCAGGCUUCUAUUCUGGACCUUAUACCACUGACCUUCCUGAUUCUCAGGCCUUUGGACCCAGACUGAAGCUGCGUCAGCGUUCUCCUGAGCCUCCAUAAUGCUGACUG